ACAAAAACAUUUUAACCAGGCCGAGGGUUUCUGGGCUUGAUGUGUAACGCAACGCAAAGCACUGAAACUGUUUCACGCCAGGUCAGAGGUCGCGCGGAAAAACCGUUACAAACAAACAUUCAAGCGCAAGCAGCGGCACUCAGUGGAGCAGCACGAAUAUCUGAGAGGGCGCUGCGAGCUACAUUCAGUGCUUGGUCACGUGCCGCUACUUCAUUCGUGAAGAACCUGGACGACAGACGAUAUUAUAAUCAAUUCUCAAAAGAGACACCAUUGUCCCUAUCAAGACUGAAAUUGAUGGAGAUAUUUUAAUGAACCUAGCUGAGACUACGAAAGCUGAAAUAUUACCAAAAAUGAAGGAUUAAGUUAAAAAAAAGUUAAACCUAAAGACUGAGAUGCCAGCAAGACCACAGACACCACGAGACUUCUUAUUGAUAUUUCACCUGGAUCAGUCUCAAGACAACAUAUUGCUAGUUUGUAGCAACAUAUUGUAGCAAUAAAAAAAAGACUUUAAAAGACUGAAAGGACAAAGCAAACAAGAUCAAAAAUAAUUCAAGGUAUGCAACAGGUGAACACAACAAGAUGUCUUCAGCCCUGGUUACCAAAUACCAGUUCUUGAGAGUAAAGACUGGCAGAGGAUGUGCUUAAAAACAAAUUCCAAAAGAGAUCACCUUUGAUUAAUGUUGAAGAAAUAAAUGAAAUUUGCUGCAGGUUCAGCAAAGAAAACAGAUCAUUUUACCAGGAGUCCAUCAAAAAUAUGGCAGCCAUUGUAGACAUGGAUGAUCUAUCUGGCCAAUAUUUGUAUCAAAAGAGGCCAAGGCCAGUAGGGGUAAGUGUCACAGACAGAGUCUGGUGGCACAGACAGUGAUCAACGAGUGCCAAAGAAGAGCAGUUGGGGUAGAUAUUGUUACUGAGUUGAAUGAAGAAAAACAAAUCUGCGUUGGUUUGGCACACAAAGGUCUCAAUGGUUGCUGCUGUUUUCACUUCUAUUAAAGGAGAAUCAGAGAUCUCUUCAUGUCAUCAGUGAGGAACCACAUACACCCAACCCCGUGCUGUUUAUAAAGGGACGUGCCUUGGAUGCAGAGACUCUUUCAGAAAUAAUGAUGGAAGGAGGAGGUCUGAGAAGUAGACGAUGUGAACACCGUUCUACACUUCAUCUUCAACACUGAAUAUGCUUCAAAGUUGAGAGACACCCUGACAUUCAUUGAAAACUGUUUAAUGUAUCAUAAUGCCAAAACCAAUAUGCCAGC